rnacentral:rRNA from 1 species
GAUGAACGCUGGCGGCGUGCCUAAUACAUGCAAGUCGAGCGAACGGACGAGAAGCUUGCUUCUCUGAUGUUAGCGGCGGACGGGUGAGUAACACGUGGAUAACCUACCUAUAAGACUGGGAUAACUUCGGGAAACCGUAGCUAAUACCGGAUAAUAUUUUGAACCGCAUGGUUCAAAAGUGAAAGACGGUCUUGCUGUCACUUAUAGAUGGAUCCGCGCUGCUUUAGCUAGUUGGUAAGGUAACGGCUUACCAAGGCAACGAUGCAUAGCCGACCUGACAGGGUGAUCGGCCACACUGGAACUGGGCCACGGUCCAGACUCCUACGGGAGGCAGCAGUAGGGAAUCUUCCGCAAUGGGCGAAAGCCUGACGGAGCAACGCCGCGUGAGUGAUGAAGGUCUUCGGAUCGUAAAACUCUGUUAUUAGGGAAGAACAUAUGUGUAAGUAACUGUGCACAUCUUGACGGUACCUAAUCAGAAAGCAACGGCUAACUACGUG